GACGAACGCUGGCGGCGUGCCUAAUACAUGCAAGUAGAACGCUGAAGAGAGGAGCUUGCUCUUCUUGGAUGAGUUGCGAACGGGUGAGUAACGCGUAGGUAACCUGCCUGGUAGCGGGGGAUAACUAUUGGAAACGAUAGCUAAUACCGCAUAAAAUUGAUUAUUGCAUGAUAAUUAAUUGAAAGAUGCAAUUGCAUCACUACCAGAUGGACCUGCGUUGUAUUAGCUAGUUGGUGAGGUAACGGCUCACCAAGGCGACGAUACAUAGCCGACCUGAGAGGGUGAUCGGCCACACUGGGACUGAGACACGGCCCAGACUCCUACGGGAGGCAGCAGUAGGGAAUCUUCGGCAAUGGGGGGAACCCUGACCGAGCAACGCCGCGUGAGUGAAGAAGGUUUUCGGAUCGUAAAGCUCUGUUGUAAGAGAAGAACGGGUGUGAGAGUGGAAAGUUCACACUGUGACGGUAUCUUACCAGAAAGGGACGGCUAACUACGUGCCAGCAGCCGCGGUAAUACGUAGGUCCCGAGCGUUGUCCGGAUUUAUUGGGCGUAAAGCGAGCGCGGGCGGUUAGAUAAGUCUGAAGUUAAAGGCUGUGGCUUAACCAUAGUAUGCUUUGGAAACUGUUUAACUUGAGUGCAGAAGGGGAGAGUGGAAUUCCAUGUGUAGCGGUGAAAUGCGUAGAUAUAUGGAGGAACACCGGUGGCGAAAGCGGCUCUCUGGUCUGUAACUGACGCUGAGGCUCGAAAGCGUGGGGAGCAAACAGGAUUAGAUACCCUGGUAGUCCACGCCGUAAACGAUGAGUGCUAGGUGUUAGGCCCUUUCCGGGGCUUAGUGCCGCAGCUAACGCAUUAAGCACUCCGCCUGGGGAGUACGACCGCAAGGUUGAAACUCAAAGGAAUUGACGGGGGCCCGCACAAGCGGUGGAGCAUGUGGUUUAAUCCGAAGCAACGCGAAGAACCUUACCAGGUCUUGACAUCCCUCUGACCGCUCUAGAGAUAGAGUUUUCCUUCGGGACAGAGGUGACAGGUGGUGCAUGGUUGUCGUCAGCUCGUGUCGUGAGAUGUUGGGUUAAGUCCCGCAACGAGCGCAACCCCUAUUGUUAGUUGCCAUCAUUCAGUUGGGCACUCUAGCGAGACUGCCGGUAAUAAACCGGAGGAAGGUGGGGAUGACGUCAAAUCAUCAUGCCCCUUAUGACCUGGGCUACACACGUGCUACAAUGGCUGGUACAACGAGUCGCAAGCCGGUGACGGCAAGCUAAUCUCUGAAAGCCAGUCUCAGUUCGGAUUGUAGGCUGCAACUCGCCUACAUGAAGUCGGAAUCGCUAGUAAUCGCGGAUCAGCACGCCGCGGUGAAUACGUUCCCGGGCCU
rnacentral:rRNA from 1 species